rfam:Tumebacillus algifaecis strain THMBR28 chromosome, complete genome.
GAAGUGAAUAACAACGAACCGCAGACAGCAGGUGUCAAGCAUGCUUGACUUAAUACCCUGCCGAGGAUCAAGAAGUUUCACCUUACUCAGGUAACUUAUGCCCUCGUAGACUGUCUGCGGGGGUUUUCUUCUUGAUCU